rnacentral:rRNA from 1 species
AGUGGCGUAGUGGCGAACGGGUUAGUAACACGUGGGAAUCUACCCUAAAGACGGGAAUAACUCCGCGAAAGCGGAGCUAAUACCCGAU